GUGCUCACUUCGGCAGCACAUAUACUAAAAUUGGAAUGAUACGGAGAAGAUUAGCAUGGCCCCUGCGCAAAAACACGAAACCAACCGUGCUGCCCAUCAAAAGU
rnacentral:snRNA from 1 species